rnacentral:rRNA from 1 species
GUGCCAGCAGCCGCGGUAAGACGUAGGAGGCGAGCGUUGUCCGGAUUCAUUGGGCGUAAAGAGCACGCAGGCGGUUUGGCAAGUCGGACGUGAAAAUCCGGGGCUCAACCCCGGACCUGCAUCCGAAACUGCCCGACUAGAGGUAGGUAGGGGAGAUCGGAAUUCCUGGUGUAGCGGUGAAAUGCGCAGAUAUCAGGAGGAACACCGGUGGCGAAGGCGGAUCUCUGGGCCUUACCUGACGCUCAGGUGCGAAAGCUAGGGGAGCGAACAGGAUUAGAAACCCGUGUAGUCC